GCGACAACAAAGCGGCGGCGGCGGCGGCGGCGGCAGCGGCAGCGGCGGCUCCUCAACAUGGCAGCGCCGAGCGCGGCCACUUCCGGCUAAGCCCUCGGCGCUCCGCUAAGACUUGCCAUCGCCCUCUGGACGGCCUUCCAACUCAAGCAGGGAGUCCCACUGGGGUGCAGCCUUAGAUCCUCCCAGUGUGGAGGGAAACACUUCCCACGCAUAAAGAUGUCAUUACUGGGUUAUUCUUGGGUGAAGGGCUGAGCUUCCCCCUCUCCCCUUCACUCCAGACAUGAAGUGAAAUUCUAUCCCCAAACCCUCCCUCUCCCGCCAAAAUAACCACAAACAAAAAAAAAACAAGUGAGAAAGUAUAGACAUAAAAUUACUUUAGUGUUUUACUACAGUCUGCUUCCUUCUGCACCCCCGAAACAAAAAUCAAACUUCUGUUUGUGCAUCAAGAGAUGUCACUGAGGUGACCCCAGCCUGUUUGCAGUUCCAAGUCUUCUGUGUAGGCGUCACCGUUACUGAACUUUGUAGAUGAGGAGUCUAUAUGAUGAUGUCCUGAACGUUUUCUAUCCUUUCCUCGAUAGUAGUUGUUACUGGGAAUAUCAGAGACACGCUAUUAUUAAAGAAAUGUCUCCAGUCCAAGAAACCUGUGGUGGGGAAGUGAGGGGACAGGCUAUAUCAAUGGUAUUUUUAUAAACUUAAAAGAAAAAAUCCUCAGAUGGGUACAUUAUUUCAAAACAUCAGCAUCUUUCAAAAUCAACUCUUAUCUCAUUCCCUCCAUUUACUCCCAUCCAGUCACGUCUGAUGCUGGUCAUCUCCAACUUCCCCAAAUACUUAAACAAUGUAAUUAAUAUGGCUGGUGAGUACUAAGGUAAAGAGGUACAAUAA